rnacentral:rRNA from 1 species
AGAGUUUGAUCCUGGCUCAGGAUGAACGCUAGCGGCAGGCCUAAUACAUGCAAGUCGAGCGGAGUCAGCAAUGGCUUAGCGGCGAACGGGUGCGUAACGCGUAUGUAACCUGCCCCAGGGAGGGGGACAACACUGGGAAACUGGUGCUAAUACCCCAUGAUGCAGCGGGCCCGCAUGGGCAUAGUUGUUAAAGGAGCAAUCCGCCUUGGGAGGGGCAUGCGUCCGAUUAGCUAGUUGGCGGGGUAGCGGCCCACCAAGGCGACGAUCGGUAACUGGUCUUAGAGGAUGAUCAGUCACACUGGCACUGAGACACGGGCCAGACUCCUACGGGAGGCAGCAGUAGGGAAUAUUGGGCAAUGGGCGAAAGCCUGACCCAGCCAUGCCGCGUGCAGGAAGAAGGUCCAUCGGAUUGUAAACUGCUUUUAUCCGGGAAUAAGGUGUUUGUAACUCAAGCACUCGAAGGUACCGGGGGAAUAAGGACCGGCUAACUACGUGCCAGCAGCCGCGGUAAUACGUAGGGUCCAAGCGUUGUCCGGAUUUACUGGGUUUAAAGGGUGCGCAGGCGGGCUUGCAAGUCGAUGAUGAAAUGUCAGGGCUCAACCUUGGCGCUGUUGUCGAAACUGCAAGUCUUGAGCGUGGUUGAGGUAUCUGGAACGAGUGGUGUAGCGGUGAAAUGCGUAGAGAUCACUCAGAACACCAAUUGCGAAGGCAGGAUACUGGGCCAUAGCUGACGCUCAGGCACGAAAGCGUGGGGAUCAAACAGGAUUAGAUACCCUGGUAGUCCACGCCCUAAACUAUGAAUACUAAAUUUCGGGGCGUAAGUCUCGGAGUUUGAGCAAAAGCGUUAAGUAUUCCACCUGGGAAGUACGCUCGCAAGGGUGAAACUCAAAGGAAUUGACGGGGGCCCGCACAAGCGGUGGAGCAUGUGGUUUAAUUCGAUGGUACGCGAGGAACCUUACCUGGGCUAGAAUGCGCGUGACCGCCUCAGAGAUGAGGCUUCCCUUCGGGGCACAAAGCAAGGUGCUGCAUGGCUGUCGUCAGCUCGUGCCGUGAGGUGUUUGGUUAAGUCCAGCAACGAGCGCAACCCCUGUUGUUAGUUGCCAGCGCGUAAUGGCGGGAACUCUAACAAGACUGCCUUCGUAAGAAGUGAGGAAGGAGGGGACGACGUCAAGUCAUCAUGGCCCUUACGUCCAGGGCUACACACGUGCUACAAUGGCCAGUACAAAGGGAAGCAAUACCGCAAGGUCGAGCAAAUCUCAAAAAGCUGGUCUCAGUUCGGAUUGGAGUCUGCAACUCGACUCCAUGAAGUUGGAAUCGCUAGUAAUCGCGUAUCAGCAAUGACGCGGUGAAUACGUUCCCGGGCCUUGUACACACCGCCCGUCAAGCCAUGGAAGCUGGGAGCGCCUGAAGUCGGGGGAUUGAAUCCCUGCCUAGGGCGAUACUGGUAACUGGGGCUAAGUCGUAACAAGGUA